rnacentral:rRNA from 1 species
GUGGGGGAUAUUGCACAAUGGGGGAAACCCUGAUGCAGCGACGCCGCGUGAGUGAUGAAGUAUUUCGGUAUGUAAAACUCUAUCAGCAGGGAAGAAAAUGACGGUACCUGACUAAGAAGCUCCGGCUAAAUACGUGCCAGCAGCCGCGGUAAUACGUAUGGAGCAAGCGUUAUCCGGAUUUACUGGGUGUAAAGGGAGCGUAGACGGUGAGGCAAGUCUGAUGUGAAAGGUGUGGGCUCAACCCGCAAACUGCAUUGGAAACUGUCCCGCUUGAGUGUCGGAGAGGUAAGUGGAAUUCCUAGUGUAGCGGUGAAAUGCGUAGAUAUUAGGAGGAACACCAGCGGCGAAGGCGGCUUACUGGACGAUAACUGACGUUGAGGCUCGAAAGCGUGGGGAGCAAACAGG